GAUGAACGCUGGCGGCGUGCCUAAUACAUGCAAGUCGAGCGAACAGACGAGGAGCUUGCUCCUCUGACGUUAGCGGCGGACGGGUGAGUAACACGUGGAUAACCUACCUAUAAGACUGGGAUAACUUCGGGAAACCGGAGCUAGUACCGGAUAAUAUAUUGAACCGCAUGGUUCAAUAGUGAAAGACGGUUUUGCUGUCACUUAUAGAUGGAUCCGCGCCGCAUUAGCUAGUUGGUAAGGUAACGGCUUACCAAGGCAACGAUGCGUAGCCGACCUGAGUGGGUGAUCGGCCACACUGGAACUGAGACACGGUCCAGACUCCUACGGGAGGCAGCAGUAGGGAAUCUUCCGCAAUGGGCGAAAGCCUGACGGAGCAACGCCGCGUGAGUGAUGAAGGUCUUCGGAUCGUAAAACUCUGUUAUUAGGGAAGAACAAAUGUGUAAGUAACUAUGCACGUCUUGACGGUACCUAAUCAGAAAGCCACGGCUAACUACGUG
rnacentral:rRNA from 1 species